rnacentral:lncRNA from 1 species
GGAAAAUCUUCCAUCCGCUGGGCGGCUCUGGGUGUGUUGAGCAAGUGACUGUGUCCCCCGACGCUGGUGUGGCCCAAGGAGCAAAGGCCCCAAACGGGGUGGGGAGGGAGGGGGCCUCUGGCGGCACACAUGGCAGGGAGACAGAGAAGGGCCCGACACCGCGGAGCAGAGCAGGGGAGCAUGGGCUGCGGGCCCCACGGAGCAGCAACGCCGUGAGAGCUGCUGGAAGACACGGCGGACACAGAACGCGGCAGAGCAGUCAGGAACGCCGGCACCACGCACGUGACAGCCAGCUCAGACGAAGGGCAAGCAAGCGAAAUUUAGCAUCUGUGGUUAUGACCAGGAGCGUCCCUAAGAGCAGCUACGGUGGCCCUCUGACCGAGGGAACAGCACGAGCAUACACUGGAUUAUGCUUCUCUGUGUGUGUAUGUCUCUCUCUCUCUCCUUCUCCCUCCCUUCUUCCCUCUCUCCCUCCUUCCCUCCCUCUCUCUCUCCCUUUCUCUUGUCUCUCUCUUUCUGUUGUCUCUCUGUCUCUCCUGGUCUCUCUGUCCCUCUGUCUCUCUGUCUCUGUCUCUUGUCUCUGUGUCUCUGUCUCUCUUGACCAGGGUACUCCUGGGUCACAGGAAACUGGAGGGGCAGAUCCAGAAACACUCCUUAGAAAAACAAGAGGUCAUCUCUUGCUAGGACUGAACAGCCUGCCUCAGACUGGGGGCCAGGGGAGGAAAGAAGCAUUCAUUAAAACACCUACUACUCCCCGAGUAUUUUCUCGUUUGGUCCUCACAGUAUCAGGUAGAAAACGACACGACUGUUCUCAUUUUACAGCUGUGGAAACUGAGGCAGGCAGUGGGAGUGUGGCUUGCCUGCACUCCGGACUCCCACUCCCCUGCGCAGUCACCAGCUUGGGGCGAGAGACGGCCCCUGCUGCCCCUUCAGGGGAGACCGUGAUCGCUGCGGCAGGCCCGCCCCAGGAACCCGACACCCUUUCCAAACCGAGACCCAGCGUCCCCGGGCCCGAGAGCCACGGGACCCACACAAGGUGGGGGUGGGGGCAGCCCCUCAGGGCCGCGUGCACACCUGUGUGCCGGGCUGGGGCCGAGGGAAGUCCGCAGCUGCCCCAACGCUUCCUUCUGGCUUUGGGGGACAAGGAAGCGGGAGCGCGGGUUUGCUCUCCCGGGAGGCGAGCAGCCCACCAGAAGCCUCGGCCUGGAGGGGACGCCGGCCGGCACGUGCAGGGAGUGGCGUGUCGGGGGCUGAUUGUGUGACAGCCAGUGGGCGGCUCCAGGCACAGUGCCCUGGGUCCCGCUCCGGCGCUGGCCGCGAUCUGGUUAUUGCCGAGGGACUCACGAGAGGCGAGCCAGGACGUCUUGUCUUCACACAGAGGCCUUUUCACUGUGAGUCACAGGGUCUGGGAGGGGAAGAGCUCGGGUGGCGGCCGCCCUCAUCUGUCCUCGCCCUGACUGGGGCUCGGAGCCGAGCCAGGAGAAAGUGGGGCAGGGGGUGGGGUGGGUGGGAGCAAAAUCCCCGGCGAAUGAGGAGAUGUUCCCGCAGCGGGGGGCUCGGCAAGCCCUUCCCAGAGUCCUUGGGCACUCUCUGUCCUUCCUCACGGGGAGGCUAGUCCUUCCCGCUCUAGCUCCUCCCCUCAGCUCUUCUCGACUCCCGAUCUCUGGGGCCAAGCGGAGCAAACAUGGGCCGCGGCCUGGACUGCUGAAACGGCCAAAAUGCCUGCCCCGGAGAAGCGACAUAGACCCCUCUCUGAGAGCCCCCGAGGAGCUAUCCGCUGAUCUGGAAGCCCCCAAAGUGGAGCUCUCCAAUUCCCCCUUCUUAGUGCACCCCUCAAGUCCCCGGCCGCCCCACUUUUCUUUCCUAGGUUCGGCCAGUGUGGCCACGUAGGAAGUCCCUGAGGUGGCCCAGAGCAAGACACAUUGUGCUGUCCAACUACCAGCCCCAGGUUUGGACCCCCCCCCCCAACUGGCCCCACUGGAGCUGAUGACAUCUCACUGAAAAAGCCGAAUCGGAAGGAACUGCCCCGGGAUCCCCAGCAGCCACGGGCAGCCCCCAACUCACGGAUGCUGUGUGAGUGAGGCCAGGGACGAGGCGGGCUGGGGGCCCAGGGAGGUCAUGGCAGCAGUGCCAGGGAGGAGCCGUUAGACUGGAAAGCCCCCAGGUCACGCAGCAGAGGCUGUCUGCGGACACCAGGGCAGCCUGGGAGGGCAGCUCUGCCCCUGCCCCCAGGGCCUCUCUCUCUCAGACAGGGCCUGCUGACCCCUGGUUCCUGUCCUGGGGGAGCCGGCCGGGCCGGCUGCAUCACAGAGCCUUGGGGAGCCCAGACAAGCCGCCCGUCAGCAGGCUUUGGGGGAUUCUCCGGCAAUCCUCUGACUCUCCGCUCCAUGGAAGAGAGCAAAUUGCAGUGUCAGGUUGCCCUGGGGAAAGAGCUAAUCGGCUGAGCCCUGAUGCUCUGAGAGGCGGCAGCCCCACGCGGACCCCGAGGGACCAAGAUCUGGGGGGCGGGCCAGAACCAGCUCCCCUCACACUGGGAGGGACCCCUCCGCCAGGACGCCCCAGAGUGCCUCCCGGAUGAUUAGAACUGGAAGAGUGAGGGAGCCAUGGAAGUCCUUGCUGCGAGAUGAGGACCCCAAAGAGUUAAAGUAUAAGUCUUCCAAUGCUCCAGACAUGGAAAAAGUCACCAGAGAAACAACCGCCCUGACAACAGAAGGGAUGUGACCAGCCCAGAUCCGGGAGGAGCCCAUGGGGACUCUGCUAACAAAUGGCUUGCUCCAGUGAUCCUCACAACAAAACACAAGAAGAUGUUACUCCCACUUGACAGACACGAAAACCGAGCCGCAGACCCCCAGCCAGGCCCUGGCUGACCAGCAGCUGGCAGAGCUCUCGGCCCCCCCCCCCCUCACCGAGCCUUUGGCUAUUUUCCUGCCACUCGGUGCCCCUGACACGCCCCCCCCGGCCCCAGUGCCCUCGGCUCACCCUACCCCCCCACCCCUGCACCCCUCAGUGUUUCCUAGCUCACAUCCCACCGGCGUCCAGAGGGCCGAGGGCAACCGCCUCAGGUGGGGGUCAGCAUCUGGACCAGAGCAACCAUGGGGACCUAGUGAUGGGACGGCAUGCUAGAGCCCCCUUCACUAACCCCCCUCGGGGCCCCAGGGACCCCCAAACCAAGCUGGAGGUUCCUACCAUACGCAGCUGAGGCUCAUAGAGACAGAGAGAACAAAAAAGGGGAAGGAGGCAGGGACUGGCCGUCCCCCUCAUGUAUCGUUGGUGGACCUGCGACCUGCCUCGGCCUCUUCAGGAAAGCCACUUGGAGCAUCCCCAUAGCCACUGCCCCCCAACCAGGGCCGGCCCCCCUGCUCCACAGCCCAAAAGGCCAAAGAGAAAACCGACCCACGGGUUUGCUUCUGGGCUGGCUGAGAAUUAGAAGCGGGGGCGACACACCCAAACCCCAGCCUUUGUAACAGAGGGGGCUGCUGUCAGAAGGGACCGUCCAGCUGCGGGUUCCCCAGGACAGGGCAACAGGACAAAUGGGGGAAUCUUGUUUUGCUGGAUCUAUUGGGAGAGAUUUUAUUUUUCUUUCCAAUGAGAGAGAAAAUUGACUUCAGCUCCCUGGAAAAGAAAUAAAGAUUUAAAAUCUUCCUAGGCACCGGCGUCUCUCCCACCUGCCACCCCGCAAACAGAAGUCCUCUACUACCAGGGAAAAGCUGGGUCAAAGUGGGUAGAACCAGGAUGAUCGAUGAUCCGGGAGGAGGUAAAUGCAAAAUCUAGUCAUGAGGUCCCAGGGUGUGAAAUAGGAUAAGGAGGCUAAGGGUGGAGAGGAGGCAGAAGCAGGGAAGGCAACAAGCACUUACUCAGUAACUACACUGAACAUUUUACAAACGUUAUCUCAACUGAUCCCUACAGCCCCGGGAGAUAGAUGCUAUUAUUUUUUUCCCCUUCAACAAUUUUAUUAUUUAUUUUUAACAUUCUUUUCUUUUUAAAUUUUGAAUUUCAAGUUCUCUUCUAACUCUCUCCCACCCACUGGGAAGACAAGCAAAAUAAUGAAAAACAUAUUUCUAUAUUAGUCAUCUCACAAAAAAAAAAAAAAAGCAGGAAUAAUGAAAGCACCUUCAACUUGCACUCAGCAUUUACCAGUUGUCUGUCUCUCAGGCAUUGGAUGGCAUUUUUUCUAGAUGCUAUUAUUUAUUUUACAACAUUUUACAACUGAGGAAACUGAGGCAAACAGGUUAAGUGACUUGCCUGGGGUCACAAGGAUUUGAAUUGGAGUCUUUUGGACUCCAGACCCACUUUUCUCUCCACUACACCACCAGCUACCAAAGGGAGAGAUGUCAGGUAAGAAGUGACAAGACUGAGCAAGAGACUGGAGAUGUGGGCUAAGAAUGUGGAAUCAAGAUGACAUCUCGAUCGUCAGCUUGAGUGACUUGAGUAUGGUGGUACCACAGCCCCUGGACUGUAACCGGACCUUCUAGAGAAAGGGAUCUUCUUUUAGAGAAAGAGACCUUCUUUUAGAGAAAGGCACCUUCUAGAGAAAGGGGACCUUCUAGAGAAAGGGCUCUUCUUUUGGAGAAAGGGACCUUUUAGAGAAAGGGGACCUUCUAGAGAAAGGGCUCUUCUUUUGGAGAAAGGGACCUUCUUUUAGAGAAAGGCACCUUCUAGAGAAAGGGACCUUCUUUUAGAGAAAGGGGACCUUCUAGAGAAAGGGCUCUUCUUUUAGAGAAAGGGACCUUCUAGAGAAAGAGAAGGGAUGGGGGGGGGUGUUCUAUUUCAGGCACAGUGAGUUUAAGAUUUCUGGAGGACAUGCAUUUCAAAAUGCCCUAUACACAGUUGGCGAUGCAGAACCACAGCCCAAGAGAGAGACUAGGAGAUGGACACAGAUUUGGGAGCCAUCAAUGAUGGCUGAACCCUUGGGAGCCAAUAAGAGAUAGG